GACGAACGCUGGCGGCGUGCUUAACACAUGCAAGUCGAACGCUGAAGCCUAGCUUGCUGGGUGGAUGAGUGGCGAACGGGUGAGUAACACGUGAGUAACCUGCCCUCUUCUUUGGGAUAACGCCCGGAAACGGGUGCUAAUACUGGAUAUUCACUGAUUCUCGCAUGGGGGUUGGUGGAAAGGUUUUUUCUGGUGGGGGAUGGGCUCGCGGCCUAUCAGCUUGUUGGUGGGGUGAUGGCCUACCAAGGCUUUGACGGGUAGCCGGCCUGAGAGGGUGACCGGUCACAUUGGGACUGAGAUACGGCCCAGACUCCUACGGGAGGCAGCAGUGGGGAAUAUUGCACAAUGGGCGAAAGCCUGAUGCAGCGACGCCGCGUGAGGGAUGGAGGCCUUCGGGUUGUAAACCUCUUUCGCUCAUGGUCAAGCCGCAACUUAGGGUUGUGGUGAGGGUAGUGGGUAAAGAAGCGCCGGCUAACUACGUGCCAGCAGCCGCGGUAAUACGUAGAGCGCGAGCGUUGUCCGGAAUUAUUGGGCGUAAAGGGCUUGUAGGCGGUUGGUCGCGUCUGCCGUGAAAUCCUCUGGCUUAACUGGGGGCGUGCGGUGGGUACGGGCUGACUUGAGUGCAGUAGGGGAGACUGGAACUCCUGGUGUAGCGGUGGAAUGCGCAGAUAUCAGGAAGAACACCGGUGGCGAAGGCGGGUCUCUGGGCCGUUACUGACGCUGAGGAGCGAAAGCGUGGGGAGCGAACAGG
rnacentral:rRNA from 1 species